rnacentral:rRNA from 1 species
CUGCUAUGGCCUUCCUUUCUGUCGGGGACGGGCUUCUGGGCUUCACUGUCCGGGACUCGGAGUCGACGUGGUUACUUUGAGUAAAUUAGAGUGUUCAAAGCAGGCUUACGCCCUGAAUACUUUAGCAUGGAAUAACACGAUAGGACUCUGGCCUAUCUUGUUGGUCUGUAGGACUGGAGUAAUGAUUAAGAGGGACAGUCGGGGGCAUUCGUAUUUCAUUGUCAGAGGUGAAAUUCUUGGAUUUAUGAAAGACGAACUACUGCGAAAGCAUUUGCCAAGGAUGUUUUCAUUAAUCAAGAACGAAAGUUGGGGGCUCGAAGACGAUUAGAUACCGUCGUAGUCUCAACCAU